rnacentral:misc_RNA from 1 species
AAAGUCGUAACAAGGUUUCCGUAGGUGAACCUGCGGAAGGAUCAUUAACAAAUCCACUGUUCAUUCGUGUGCUGAUUGUGGAGGGGGAUUCGUUCUCUCUCUGCAGCUGGCGCAAGGAUAACAUCUGUUCCAUGCUGCACGUUUACUCUGCACAUGACAUUUCUACGAGUCAUCUGAUCAUUAUCAUUUCAAUCUAUAAAUAACUUUUAACAAUGGAUCUCUAGGCUCUU